rnacentral:tRNA from 1 species
GGAGAGGAAGCCAAUAGUUGGCGUCUGGGUUUGCACCUAUAAUAAGUGGCCUGUUGCCACCCUCUCCC